rnacentral:tRNA from 1 species
UAUUAAUUAUUUAAUUGAAGGAUUAUUCCUUCAAAACUGAAACACAGCGUCAGCGUACUUUUCUCUAAAGAAAAGCAUCGACUAGAGUUUUAACUCCAUAGAAAGGAGGUGAUCCAGCCGCACCUUCCGAUACGGCUACCUUGUUACGACUUCACCCCAAUCAUCUGUCCCACCUUAGGCGGCUGGCUCCAAAAGGUUACCCCACCGACUUCGGGUGUUACAAACUCUCGUGGUGUGACGGGCGGUGUGUACAAGGCCCGGGAACGUAUUCACCGCGGCAUGCUGAUCCGCGAUUACUAGCAAUUCCGGCUUCAUGGGAUCAAAGUUUACUUACAACUCCCCGAGGCAUAUCGCGGAUCAAAGUUUACUUACAACUCCCCUAGUGCCAAGGCAUUCACCGUGCGCCCUUUCUAACUUAACCUAAUUUUUCCGUAAUAAGCUGCGGAUCUCUUCGUUGGCUUCGCUUUUCUGCGCUGCUCAUGUAUCCUUAAACAUACACUCCGCUGCUCGAAAGCUCGCCGCCUCGACCUCCUUGCUUCUUCCGAAAAAAUACCUGUUUUUUCAAAAGGAUUUUUCGUCGAAUUGAAUUCUUGACUACUCAAGAUUUACUCAAAGUCAUAAUGACUUCCGGUAAAACUUAAAUGUAUUAGUUGUUAUCUAGUUUUCAAAGAACGAUUCCGCACCAAAAAGGCGACUUGAUAAAUAUAACACCAUUUGAUUAAUGAUGUCAAUAACUUCUUUGGUGGAGCCUAGCGGGAUCGAACCGCUGACCUCCUGCGUGCAAGGCAGGCGCUCUCCCAGCUGAGCUAAGGCCCCUAAACUUAAUUGUAUGGUGGGCCUAAGUGGACUCGAACCACCGACCUCACGCUUAUCAGGCGUGCGCUCUAACCAGCUGAGCUAUAGGCCCAUACAGAGUUUUUUUGCUUUACCAUGAGAUUUUUCUCUCAAAAAAGCUACUGACUUUAAAAGCAUCAUGAGAUACUUCUGUGAAUUGAUUACAUGCAACUUUACGUCGAUGAAGCUUAUUGCAACUACACUUGUAGACGUAAACGCACGGUCUAAAUUCAGAUCAGUAAACAAUAUAAUCUGGAAGGUUAUUCUUCCAAAACUGAACACAAAAGCACAAGCGGUACUUUUCCCUAAGAAAAGCAUCGACUAGAGUUAUACUCCAUAGAAAGGAGGUGAUCCAGCCGCACCUUCCGAUACGGCUACCUUGUUACGACUUCACCCCAAUCAUCUGUCCCACCUUAGGCGGCUGGCUCCAAAAGGUUACCCCACCGACUUCGGGUGUUACAAACUCUCGUGGUGUGACGGGCGGUGUGUACAAGGCCCGGGAACGUAUUCACCGCGGCAUGCUGAUCCGCGAUUACUAGCAAUUCCGGCUUCAUGUAAAUGGGGGGACGCAGAAAGGUAGGGUAAGCGCACUGAUGGAUAUGUGCGUCCAAGCAGUUAGGCUGAGAAGUAGGCAAAUCCGCUUCUCGCGAAGGCUGAGCUGUGAUGGCGAGCGAAAUUUAAGUAGCGAAGUUCCUGAUCCUACACUGCCAAGAAAAGCCUCUAGCGAGGUGAGAGGUGCCCGUACCGCAAACCGACACAGGUAGGCGAGAAGAGAAUUCUAAGACGCUCGGGAGAACUCUCGUUAAGGAACUCGGCAAAAUGACCCCGUAACUUCGGGAGAAGGGGUGCUCUGAUAGGGUGUUAAAGCCCGAGAGAGCCGCAGUGAAUAGAUCCAAGCGACUGUUUAGCAAAAACACAGGUCUCUGCGAAGCCGCAAGGCGAAGUAUAGGGGCUGACACCUGCCCGGUGCUGGAAGGUUAAGAGGAGGGGUUAUCCGUAAGGAGAAGCUCUGAAUUGAAGCCCCAGUAAACGGCGGCCGUAACUAUAACGGUCCUAAGGUAGCGAAAUUCCUUGUCGGGUAAGUUCCGACCCGCACGAAUGGUGUAACGAUUUGGAUACUGUCUCAACGAGAGACCCGGUGAAAUUAUAUUACCUGUGAAGAUGCAGGUUACCCGCGACAGGACGGAAAGACCCCAUGGAGCUUUACUGUAGCUUGAUAUUGGAUUUUGGUACAGUUUGUACAGGAUAGGUAGGAGCCUGAGAACCCGGAGCGCCAGCUUCGGUGGAGGCGUCGGUGGGAUACUACCCUGACUGUAUUGAAAUUCUAACCUAGGACCGUGAUCCGGUUCGGGGACAGUGUCAGGUGGGCAGUUUGACUGGGGCGGUCGCCUCCUAAACAGUAACGGAGGCGCCCAAAGGUUCCCUCAGAAUGGUUGGAAAUCAUUCGUAGAGUGCAAAGGCAAAAGGGAGCUUGACUGCGAGACCUACAAGUCGAGCAGGGACGAAAGUCGGGCUUAGUGAUCCGGUGGUUCCGCAUGGAAGGGCCAUCGCUCAACGGAUAAAAGCUACCCUGGGGAUAACAGGCUUAUCUCCCCCAAGAGUCCACAUCGACGGGGAGGUUUGGCACCUCGAUGUCGGCUCAUCGCAUCCUGGGGCUGAAGUAGGUCCCAAGGGUUGGGCUGUUCGCCCAUUAAAGCGGUACGCGAGCUGGGUUCAGAACGUCGUGAGACAGUUCGGUCCCUAUCCGUCGCGGGCGUAGGAAAUUUGAGAGGAGCUGUCCUUAGUACGAGAGGACCGGGAUGGACAUACCGCUGGUGUACCAGUUGUUCCGCCAGGAGCAUAGCUGGGUAGCUACGUAUGGAAGGGAUAAGUGCUGAAAGCAUCUAAGAAUGGGGGGACGCAGAAAGGUAGGGUAAGCGCACUGAUGGAUAUGUGCGUCCAAGCAGUUAGGCUGAGAAGUAGGCAAAUCCGCUUCU